rnacentral:rRNA from 1 species
UACGGAGGGUGCAAGCGUUAUCCGGAUUUACUGGGUUUAAAGGGUGCGCAGGCGGAUAUGUAAGUCAGUGGUGAAAAUCUCCGGGCUUAACCCGGAAAUUGCCGUUGAUACUAUAUAUCUUGAAUGCUGUGGAGGUAAGCAGAAUAUGUCAUGUAGCGGUGAAAUGCUUAGAUAUGACAUAGAAUACCUAUUGCGAAGGCAGCUUACUACGCAGAUAUUGACGCUCAUGCACGAAAGCGUGGGGAUCAAACAGG